UACGUAGGGGGCUAGCGUUGUCCGGAAUCAUUGGGCGUAAAGAGCGUGUAGGCGGUCCGGUAAGUCCGCUGUGAAAGUCGGGAGCUCAACCUUCGAAUGCCGGUGGAUACUGUCGGGCUAGAGUGCGGAAGAGGCGAGUGGAAUUCCUGGUGUAGCGGUGAAAUGCGCAGAUAUCAGGAGGAACACCUAUUGCGAAGGCAGCUCGCUGGGACGUAACUGACGCUGAGACGCGAAAGCGUGGGGAGCAAACAGG
rnacentral:rRNA from 1 species